rnacentral:rRNA from 1 species
UUAUAAGAGACAGCAGCAGCCGCGGUAAUACGGAGGGUGCGAGCGUUAAUCGGAAUAACUGGGCGUAAAGGGCACGCAGGCGGUGACUUAAGUGAGGUGUGAAAGCCCCGGGCUUAACCUGGGAAUUGCAUUUCAUACUGGGUCGCUAGUGUACUUUAGGGAGGGGUAGAAUUCCACGUGUAGCGGUGAAAUGCGUAGAGAUGUGGAGGAAUACCGAAGGCGAAGGCAGCCCCUUGGGAAUGUACUGACGCUCAUGUGCGAAAGCGUGGGGAGCAAACGGGAUUAGAUACCCGGGUAGUCCCUGUCUCUUAUAU